rfam:Schistosoma mansoni strain Puerto Rico chromosome 6, complete genome
GCACUGCUGAGGAGUCCCAUAAUAGGACGAAACGGCCGUCCAGUUC